rnacentral:rRNA from 1 species
CCUACGGGUGGCAGCAGUGAGGAAUAUUGGUCAAUGGGCGCGAGCCUGAACCAGCCAAGUCGCGUGAAGGAUGACUGCCCUACGGGUGGUAACCUUCUUUUAUAAAGGAAUAAAGUGCGGCACGUGUGCCUUAUUGCAUGGACUUUAUGAAUAAGGAUCGGCUAACUCCGUGACAGCAGCAGCGGUAAUACGGAGGGUCCGAGCGUUAUUCGGAUUUAUUGGGCUUAAAGUGAGCGUAGAUGGGUUGUUAAGUCAGUUGUGAAAGCUUACGGCUAAACCGUAAAACUGCAUUUGAAACUGUUAGCCUUGAGUAUAGGUGAGGUAGGCGGAAUUCGUGGUGUAGCGGUAAAAUGCGUAGAGAUCACGAAGAACACCGAUUGCGAAGGCAGCCUACUAAACUGCAACUGACACUGAUGCUCGAAAGCGUGGGUAUCAAACAGGAUUAGAUACCCGAGUAGUC